rnacentral:rRNA from 1 species
AUUGAACGCUGGCGGCAGGCCUAACACAUGCAAGUCGAGCGGAUGAAGGGAGCUUGCUCCUGGAUUCAGCGGCGGACGGGUGAGUAAUGCCUAGGAAUCUGCCUGGUAGUGGGGGAUAACGUCCGGAAACGGGCGCUAAUACCGCAUACGUCCUGAGGGAGAAAGUGGGGGAUCUUCGGACCUCACGCUAUCAGAUGAACCUAGGUCGGAUUAGCUAGUUGGUGGGGUAAAGGCCUACCAAGGCGACGAUCCGUAACUGGUCUGAGAGGAUGAUCAGUCACACUGGAACUGAGACACGGUCCAGACUCCUGCGGGAGGCAGCAGUGGGGAAUAUUGGACAAUGGGCGAAAGCCUGAUCCAGCCAUGCCGCGUGUGUGAAGAAGGUCUUCGGAUUGUAAAGCACUUUAAGUUGGGAGGAAGGGCAGUAAGUUAAUACCUUGCUGUUUUGACGUUACCAACAGAAUAAGCACCGGCUAACUUCGUG